AUUCCUGCAUCAUCUAUGCGUCGCUUCUCUGUCCCCAACGCGCCGCCGCCGCAUACCCCCGCACUCCGCCUCCGUAGCGAGCUCGCCUCCGCACCUCCCCACCAAGCCAGCAGCUACCCCCUCCUCCUCCCACUCCUACCCCCAAUCUCCUCUGAAGCCCCUCGUCGUCUCCCCUCUGCCGCCGUCAACGGCAUCAGGUAUAGGGAGGAGGAUGAGGAUACAGUGGCGGUGGAGAUGGGGAUGGCGAGAUGUGGCUCCAGGUGCUGCUUUUGCCUCCACCGGCCCUCCCGCCGGCAACAGGACCACAUGAACGCCCUACGCUCACCGCCCUAGACGCCGCCGCCGUCGUGGCCUUUCGCUCCUAAAUUCCCAAUGUUGCCGCCGAUGCGUUUCCGGCGGCGAUUGGGGUGGAUCCCAACAUGAGUGGUGAUUGCGAUGUCCUCUCACCCGAUGGGUUUUCACAGGUGUUUGAUAAUUCAUGGUAUAGGAAUUCAUCCGGAAGCACCUUGACAAUAAGCCCAUCGUCGAACUGCUAUAGUGUGCAACUGCAGUGCUUAUAUUUAUCUUUUCUUAGGGCAAAAGAUAAUCUCUGACAUUGAAGUACUAUGUUGCAUUCUUACUUUACUGUAAUUUAAACCAUGCUAAUUUAUAUCAUAACAAAAUUUGAACCAGACAAUAAGUCAUUGAGCUCCUCAGUAUCUAAUCGUUUUGGCACCAAACUGAGAAGUCUGAAGUAGCCAAUAAGAUUAACUGAUGUGGCAAAUCGUAGUGCUCUAUGCCUCCUAGAUUCGAGGUUUUGUGCUUCAACUUAUGAUAUUAUGUUAAAUGACUUAUGUUACCAUAUUUGGAAAA